GACGAACGCUGGCGGCGUGCCUAAUACAUGCAAGUAGAACGCACAGUUUAUACCGUAGCUUGCUACACCAUAGACUGUGAGUUGCGAACGGGUGAGUAACGCGUAGGUAACCUGCCUGGUAGCGGGGGAUAACUAUUGGAAACGCUAGCUAAUACCGCAUAAUAUUGAUUAUUGCAUGAUAAUUGAUUGAAAGAUGCUAUUGCAUCACUACCAGAUGGACCUGCGUUGUAUUAGCUAGUAGGUGAGGUAACGGCUCACCUAGGCGACGAUACAUAGCCGACCGGAGAGGGUGGGCAGCCAGCCUGGGACGGAGACACGGCCCAGAGUCCUUCGGGAGGCAGCAGGAGGGAAUCGUCGGCAAGGGACGGAAGACUGACCGAGAAACGCCGCGUGAGGGAAGAAGGAUGUCGGAUCGGAAAGCUCGGUUGUAAGAGAAGAACGGGUGUGAGAGUGGAAAGUUCACACUGUGACGGUAUCUGACCAGAAAGGGACGGCUAACUACGUG
rnacentral:rRNA from 1 species